CUCUGGCAGGGUCCUAGAGCCCUCCCACCUCCUUCACAAAGCUGGGAAAGCAAUAACUACGCUUUGGGAAGGAGGAGGGAGGACUCUAGGACCCUUUCAGA